UCGGACGUGGUGCACGGCGCACACCCACCUCAGUUAUGUGACAUUAUUUGCAGUAAUAGAGCGGGAAGCCUGGGUUCGACUCCCGGCGUCCGAA